AACGAACGCUGGCGGCAUGCCUAACACAUGCAAGUCGAACGAGACCUUCGGGUCUAGUGGCGCACGGGUGCGUAACGCGUGGGAACCUGCCUUUAGGUUCGGAAUAACUCAGAGAAAUUUGAGCUAAUACCGGAUGAUGUCUUCGGACCAAAGAUUUAUCGCCUUUAGAUGGGCCCGCGUUGGAUUAGCUAGUUGGUGGGGUAAAGGCCUACCAAGGCGACGAUCCAUAGCUGGUCUGAGAGGAUGAUCAGCCACACUGGGACUGAGACACGGCCCAGACUCCUACGGGAAGCAGCAGUGGGGAAUAUUGGACAAUGGGCGAAAGCCUGAUCCAGCAAUGCCGCGUGAGUGAUGAAGGCCUUAGGGUUGUAAAGCUCCUUUACCCGAGAUGAUAAUGACAGUAUCGGGAGAAUAAGCUCCGGCUAACUCCGUG
rnacentral:rRNA from 1 species